AUUGAACGCUGGCGGCGUGCUUAACACAUGCAAGUCGAUCGGUAACGCGGGGGCAACCCUGGCGACGAGAGGCGGACGGGUGAGGAACGCUUGGGAAUCUGCCCAUCAGCGGGGGACAACCCGGGGAAACCCGGGCUAAUACCGCAUACGCUCUAUGGAGGAAAGCCGGGGACCGCAAGGCCUGGCACUGAUGGAUGAGCCCAAGUCGGAUUAGCUAGUUGGCGGGGUAACAGCCCACCAAGGCGACGAUCCGUAGCUGGUCUGAGAGGACGAUCAGCCACACUGGGACUGAGACACGGCCCAGACUCCUACGGGAGGCAGCAGUGGGGAAUAUUGGACAAUGGGGGAAACCCUGAUCCAGCGACGCCGCGUGGGUGAAGAAGGCCUGCGGGUUGUAAAGCCCUUUCGGUAGGGACGAAAGCCUCC
rnacentral:rRNA from 1 species